rnacentral:rRNA from 1 species
UACGUAGGGUCCGAGCGUUGUCCGGAAUUACUGGGCGUAAAGAGCUGGUAGGUGGUUUGUCGCGUUGUUCGUGAAAACUCACAGCUCAACUGUGGGCGUGCGGGCGAUACGGGCAGACUAGAGUACUGCAGGGGAGACUGGAAUUCCUGGUGUAGCGGUGGAAUGCGCAGAUAUCAGGAGGAACACCGGUGGCGAAGGCGGGUCUCUGGGCAGUAACUGACGCUGAGGAGCGAAAGCGUGGGGAGCGAACAGG